rnacentral:rRNA from 1 species
GAUGAACGCUGGCGGCGUGCCUAAUACAUGCAAGUCGAGCGAACGGACGAGAAGCUUGCUUCUCUGAUGUUAGCGGCGGACGGGUGAGUAACACGUGGAUAACCUACCUAUAAGACAGGGAUAACUUCGGGAAACCGGAGCUAAUACCGGAUGAUAUUUUGAACCGCAUGGUUCAAAAGUGAAAGACGGUCUUGCUGUCACUUAUAGAUGGAUCCGCGCUGCAUUAGCUAGUUGGUAAGGUAACGGCUUACCAAGGCAACGAUGCAUAGCCGACCUGAGAGGGUGAUCGGCCACACUGGAACUGAGACACGGUCCAGACUCCUACGGGAGGCAGCAGUAGGGAAUCUUCCGCAAUGGGCGAAAGCCUGACGGAGCAACGCCGCGUGAGUGAUGAAGGUCUUCGGAUCGUAAAACUCUGUUAUUAGGGAAGAACAAAUGUGUAAGUAACUGUGCACAUCUUGACGGUACCUAAUCAGAAAGCCACGGCUAACUACGUG